rnacentral:rRNA from 1 species
UGAUCAGCAUGCCGCGUGCAGGAAGAAGGCCUUCGGGUUGUAAACUGCUUUUGUCAGGGAAGAAAUCCUUUGGGCUAAUACCUCGGAGGGAUGACGGUACCUGAAGAAUAAGCACCGGCUAACUACGUGCCAGCAGCCGCGGUAAUACGUAGGGUGCGAGCGUUAAUCGGAAUUACUGGGCGUAAAGCGUGCGCAGGCGGCUUUGCAAGACAGAGGUGAAAUCCCCGGGCUCAACCUGGGAACUGCCUUUGUGACUGCAAGGCUAGAGUACGGCAGAGGGGGAUGGAAUUCCGCGUGUAGCAGUGAAAUGCGUAGAUAUGCGGAGGAACACCGAUGGCGAAGGCAAUCCCCUGGGCCUGUACUGACGCUCAUGCACGAAAGCGUGGGGAGCAAACAGGAUUAGAUACCCUGGUAGUCCACGCCCUAAACGAUGUCAACUGGUUGUUGGACGGCUUGCUGUUCAGUAACGAAGCUAACGCGUGAAGUUGACCGCCUGGGGAGUACGGCCGCAAGGUUGAAACUCAAG